GAUGAACGCUGGCGGCGUGCCUAAUACAUGCAAGUCGAGCGAACGGACGAGAAGCUUGCUUUUCUGAUGUUAGCGGCGGACGGGUGAGUAACACGUGGAUAACCUACCUAUAAGACUGGGAUAACUUCGGGAAACCGGAGCUAAUACCGGAUAAUAUUUUGAACCGCAUGGUUCAAAAGUGAAAGACGGUCUUGCUGUCACUUAUAGAUGGAUCCGCGCUGCAUUAGCUAGUUGGUAAGGUAACGGCUUACCAAGGCAACGAUGCAUAGCCGACCUGAGAGGGUGAUCGGCCACACUGGAACUGAGACACGGUCCAGACUCCUACGGGAGGCAGCAGUAGGGAAUCUUCCGCAAUGGGCGAAAGCCAGACGGAGCAACGCCGCGUGAGUGAUGAAGGUCUUCGGAUCGUAAAACUCUGUUAUUAGGGAAGAACAUAUGUGUAAGUAACUGUGCACAUCUUGACGGUACCUAAUCAGAAAGCCACGGCUAACUACGUG
rnacentral:rRNA from 1 species